rnacentral:rRNA from 1 species
CAGUAGCCGCGGUAAUACGAAGGGUGCAAGCGUUACUCGGAAUUACUGGGCGUAAAGCGUGUGUAGGUGGUUGUUUAAGUCUGUCGUGAAAGCCCUGGGCUCAACCUGGGAAUUGCGAUGGAUACUGGGCGACUAGAGUGCGGUAGAGGAUAGUGGAGUUUCCGGUGUAGCAGUGAAAUGCGUAGAGAUCGGAAGGAACAUCUGUGGCGAAGGCGACUAUCUGGGCCAACACUGACACUGAGACACGAAAGCGUGGGGAGCAAACAGGAUUAGAUACCCCAGUAGUCCCUGUCUCUUAUAC